rnacentral:rRNA from 1 species
GUAGUCUCGCACAGAUGCAUAUCAAUAAGCGGAGGAAAAGAAACUAACAAGGAUUCCCCUAGUAACGGCGAGUGAAGCGGGAAGAGCUCAAAUUUGAAAUCUUAAAGGGUUUCCCUUUACGAAUUGUAGUUUAAAGAAGUGUUUUCUGUUGAGGUUUUGGUAAAAGUUCUUUGGAAUAGGACAUCAUAGAGGGUGAGAAUCCCGUAUUUGACCUUUACUUUCAACUUUGUGAUACACUUUCAAAGAGUCGGAUUGUUUGGGAAUGCAGUCCAAAAUGGGUGGUAAAUUUCAUCUAAAGCUAAAUAUUGGCGAGAGACCGAUAGCGAACAAGUACCGUGAGGGAAAGAUGAAAAGGAACUUUGAAAAGAGAGUUAAACAGUACGUGAAAUUGUCAAAAGGGAAGCGUUUGACACCAGUGUUGUUUUUCCGAAAAUCAAUUACGAAUGGCUUGAUUUUGUGUUGUAUUGACCUUAUCAGCUUUCUUGCACUUUUUUCGAGUCUUUCUUAAUGCACUUUUUUGGUUAACAAGUCAACAUCAAUUUCUUUUGUUGUAAAAGAGUAUUCGGAAGGUGGCUUUCUUUUCGGAGAAAGUGUUUAUAGCCCUAUACUUCUACAAUCGGAGAGAUUGAGGUCUGCAGCGUAGAUCCUUCGGGGUUAGAUACACUUGUGCUAAGUUGUAGCUUUUCAUAGACAACUUGUUGACUAUGUUUAGUCAUGCGGCUUACUCGCUUGUGCUAUUUUACCUACGCUUAGGAUGUUGAACUCUAUCACACACAG